rnacentral:lncRNA from 1 species
AGCACUUUAGGAUAAAAUUUUGUAGAAAAAAAAGUUGUGCUUGUUCUGAAGCGUAUGUAACUCUAGAGAUAUAGUAAUAUGGAGAAGACGAUUGUUUCAAGCAUCGAUAGAAGAUAGGUUUAAGUUAGCCACAUAAAAUAUGUCAUUAUCCUUUAAGUACACACAUCAGCCUCAAUUGGAAUAGGUCUAAAGUUUUAUGGCUUAUUGAAACAAAUGCAUAUAAUUAAAGAAGGUGACAUUUUAAGUGUAUAUGGCUUAUUGGGACAAAUGCAUAUAAUUAAAGAAGGUGACAUUUUAAGUGUUUAACUUGUUCAUAUAAUGGAUGUUUGAGAAAGUUUAUGUCAUAAUUUGAACUGAAGAAACAUUUUUUCAUGUGUUUAAGUACUCAAUUGGAACAAGCCUUAAUUUGAGUGUCUAAAUGAAAUUUGUUGGCAAGUAUUAGAGGUGGCCCAUGUAUUAAAGCCUAAAAUAUACUUAUAUGGCAUAAAGCUCAUCAAUCAAAAUUGGAUCGGCACUGAAUCUCUAGGUAACUGAGUAACAAAUUUUAUGAGGGAUAUCUAUGUUGAUGGAAGAAGUGUCAAAAACAAUAGGAGUGCAGAAAUUUUAUAGCUAAAAUGUUUAAGCGCUUAACGGGGUGUGUUCUCAGCUAUUUUCACCAACCUAAGACUACUAAACACAGGUAAUUUUC